rnacentral:rRNA from 1 species
UAAUACGUAGGAUGCAAGCGUUGCCCGGAUUUAUUGGGUGUAAAGGGCGCGUAGGUGGCCCAGUAAGUCAUAGGUGAAAGCCCUCGGCUUAACCGAGGAACUGCCUAUGAUACUGCAGGGCUAGAGUACUGGAGAGGGAAGUGGAAUUCCUGGUGUAGCGGUGAAAUGCGUAGAUAUCAGGAGGAACACCGGUGGCGAAGGCGGCUUCCUGGACAGAUACUGACACUGAGGCGCGAAAGCGUGGGUAGCAAACAGGAUUAGAUACCCUGGUAGUCCACGCCCUAAACGAUGGGCACUAGGUGUGAGGACUUUUUAAAGUCUUCGUGCCGCAGCUAACGCAAUAAGUGCCCCACCUGGGAAGUACGGCCGCAAGGUUG